AUUGAACGCUGGCGGCAUGCCUUACACAUGCAAGUCGAACGGCAGCACGGGAGCAAUCCUGGUGGCGAGUGGCGAACGGGUGAGUAAAGUAUCGGAACGUGCCCAGUCGUGGGGGAUAACGUAGCGAAAGUUACGCUAACACCGCAUACGAUCUAUGGAUGAAAGCGGGGGAUCGCAAGACCUCGCGCGAUUGGAGCGGGCGAUAUCAGAUUAGGUAGUUGGUGGGGUAAAGGCUCACCAAGCCGACGAUCUGUAGCUGGUCUGAGAGGACGACCAGCCAGACGGGGGCUGGGACACGGCCCAGACUCCUACGGGAGGCAGCAGUGGGGAAUUUUGGACAAUGGGCGAAAGCCUGAUCCAGCCAUGCCGCGUGCAGGAUGAAGGCCUUCGGGUUGUAAACUGCUUUUGUACGGAACGAAAAGGUUUGGCCUAAUAAGCUGAGCUCAUGACGGUACCGUAAGAAUAAGCACCGGCUAACUACGUGCCAGCCGCCGCCGUAA
rnacentral:rRNA from 1 species